rnacentral:rRNA from 1 species
GACUAACGCUGGCGGUAUGCCUUAGACAUGCAAGUCGAACGAGUUUCCGGGCUUGCUCGGAAACUAGUGGCGAACGGCUGAGUAACGCGUAGGUGACCUACCCCGUAGCGAGGAAUAACUGCCCGAAAGGGUAGCUAAUACCUCAUGUUGAGCCGACUUCAUUGUCGUCUCCAAAGCAGCAAUGCACUAUGGGCGGGGCCUGCGUUCGAUUAGCUAGUUGGUGGGGUAACGGCUCACCAAGGCGACGAUCGAUAGGUGGUCUGAGAGGACGAUCACCCAGACUGGGACUGAGACACGGCCCAGACUCCUACGGGAGGCAGCAGUCGGGAAUUUUGCGCAAUGGGGGAAACCCUGACGCAGCAAUACCGCGUGUGGGAUGAAGGCCUUCGGGUCGUAAACCACUUUUUUCGGGGACGAUAAUGACGGUACCCGAAGAAUAAGCCACGGCUAACUACGUG